UACGGGGGGAGCAAGCGUUGUUCGGAUUUACUGGGCGUAAAGGGCGCGUAGGCGGCCUUCUAAGUCGAACGUGAAAUCCCCGGGCUCAACCCGGGAACUGCGUCCGAUACUGGAAGGCUUGAAUCCGGGAGAGGGAUGCGGAAUUCCAGGUGUAGCGGUGAAAUGCGUAGAUAUCUGGAGGAACACCGGUGGCGAAGGCGGCAUCCUGGACCAAUUCUGACGCUGAGGAGCGAAAGCCAGGGGAGCAAAGCGGG
rnacentral:rRNA from 1 species